rnacentral:rRNA from 1 species
UGAGGGAUAUUGGGCAAUGGGGGAACCCUGACCCAGCGACGCCGCGUGAGGGAAGACGGUCUUCGGAUUGUAAACCUCUGUCUUUGGGGACGAAGAAGGACGGUACCCAAGGAGGAAGCUCCGGCUAACUACGUGCCAGCAGCCGCGGUAAUACGUAGGGAGCGAGCGUUGUCCGGAAUUACUGGGUGUAAAGGGAGCGUAGGCGGGAUUGCAAGUUGGAUGUGAAAACUGCGGGCUCAACCCGGAGAGUGCAUUCAAAACUGCGAUUCUUGAGUGAAAGUAGAGGCAAGCGGAAAUUCCUAGUGUAGCGGUGAAAAUGCGUAGAUAUUAGGAGGAACACCAGUGGCGAAGGCGGCUUGCUGGGCUUUUACUGACGCUGAGGCUCGAAAGUGUAGGGAGCAAACAGGAUUAGAUACCC